rnacentral:rRNA from 1 species
CAACCNUGAUCCAGCCAUGCCGCGUGAAGGAAGACGGCCCUUCGGGUUGUAAACUUCUUUUGUAUGGGACUAAUAAGGUGGUAUACUCACCGAUGCAGGUACCAUAGGAAUAAGCACCGGCUAACUACGUGCCAGCAGCCGCGGUAAUACGUAGGGUGCAAGCGUUGUCCGGAUUUAUUGGGUUUAAAGGGUGCGUAGGCGGUUUGAUCAGUCAGUGGUUAAAGACUGUGGCUUAACCAUAGCACGCCAUUGAUACUGUCAAACUUGAGUAUGUGAGAGGAAACUGGAAUGUGUGGUGUAGCGGUGAAAUGCAUAGAUAUCACACAGAACACCGAUUGCGAAGGCAGGUUUCUAUUACAUAACUGACGCUGAGGCACGAAAGCGUGGGUAGCGAACGGGAUUAGAUACCCCGGUAGUCCACGCUGUAAACGAUGAUCACUAGGUGUCCGAAUUUCGGUUUGGGUGCCCAAGCGAAAGCGAUAAGUGAUCCACGUGGGGAG